rnacentral:rRNA from 1 species
AUGAAUGGUGAAAGGAAGGUCCAUUGGGUAGCUUGGCAGAAAAUGUGUGCUAGCAAGCGGGAUGGUGGUAUGGGCUUUCGGGACCCUGAGGCUUUUAACCAAGCGUUGUUGGCCAAACAAGCAUGGCGGGUACUUCAGGUGCCCACUUCUCUGUGUGCGAGAGUGCUCAAAGCACGGUAUUUUAAGGACGACACAAUCUUGUCGGACACUUGCCCGUCUUCUGGAUCGUACACGUUUCGAAGCAUAUUGCAUGGAAGGGAUUUUCUGCGAGAAGGACUUAUAUGGAGAGUGGGUUCGGGUGAAAGCAUUAAUAUCCAUCAUGACCCAUGGAUCCCAAGAGGGGGCUCUACUAGACCUCUUGGUCAGAUAUAUAUUCAGGGUGUCAAUAAGGUUGCGGAUCUUAUGACAGAGGAGGGGACUGCAUGGAAUGAGGAGAUUGUGGACGCCAUGUUCACCCCGGAUGAUGCAACGGACGUGAAGCAAAUAGCAAUAGGAGGACCGGACUCACAGGAUUUUCUUGCGUGGAACUUUACGAGGAACGGCAUUUUUUCUGUCAGGUCAGCAUAUCAUUUGAGAAUGUCAAUGAACAGGGCUAGGACCGGACAGCUGGAAUCCUCAAGCUCGGUUAGAAAGCACAGAGGAUUUCUUGCACUUUGGGAAACUAGCGCACUGGUGAAAGUAAAAAUCCAUAUGUGGCGAAUGAUCCGUAAUGGUCUAGCUGUGGGGCGGAACCCCAUCGUCGACGGAUAA